rnacentral:misc_RNA from 1 species
CCGAGUUUACAACUCCCAAACCCCUGUGUGAACGCUACCUAACCGUUGCCUCGGCGGGACUCUGCCCCGGGCGCGUCGCAGCCCCGGAACCAAGGCGCCCGCCGCGGGACCCAACCCCAAACCCUCGUGUAUACAAUCCCGCCGCGGAUUCUUCUCGCACAUCUGAGCUCUCCCGGCGCCCCCCAGCGGGCGCGCGGACAAUCAAUCA